AGUGAUAUAACUGGGUCAUAUGGUGGUUCUAAUCCUAGUUUUUUUGAGGAAUCUCCAUACUGCUUUCCAGAGUGAUUGCACCAAUUUACAGUCCCAUCAGUAAU
rnacentral:pre_miRNA from 1 species